rnacentral:lncRNA from 1 species
CAAGUUCUGAACUGGAGUGAUGAGGGGUGGAAGUCUGAAGUUGGAUGGGUACAAGUCAGGUCUGGGUUUUCAAACUUCACCCCUAUAAACCACCCAGGAACUACAAUCAAAGGCAGGUAAAGUCCUCAGGACUCUUCCCACCCUCUUGCAGUGCUGCCUCCACACACACCCAGAAUCUGACCUUCAAAAUUACCCUCAAGUUCAAGGAGUACAAUUGGGUCCAACUGAUCUAAGCUGGAGUCAGGAACUCUGAAGGGGUUACUGGGGCAGCUGAAGUCACAAGGAAGAGUCACUAGAUUUGGAGUCAGAAGGCCUUUAUCAUUGCUAUUUAAAAAUUUAGUGCAACUAUGCUGUAUGAUACUAUAAUGGACCAAACUGUUGACAGAACUUAGGAUUCACUUUUCAUCACUAUGUCAAUGCACAGAUGUAAAUAAAAUCUAACAUCCUUACAACACAGAAUCCAAGAAAGAAAAAAAAAAUGGUCCUUGAUUUCAUCUUUCUCUCACUCAGAUGUACCCAGUGAUGGAGGAAGUCAUGUGUUAAAGAUGGCAGAGACACAGGUAGAAGGAGCCUGGGUCCCAGCAUCACUGUAUUUUGAGAGAGUUGCCUGACCAGGAACAUCUGCCUUAUCCUCAGAAACUGAAGCCCCAAGUAGUUGAAUUACUUGCUCCGAGUCACACAACUAGCACCAUGUGGC